GGAAAGUAAAAGUCGUAACAAGGUUUCCGUAGGUGAACCUGCGGAAGGAUCAUUACAGAGUUCAUGCCCUCACGGGUAGAUCUCCCACCCUUGAAUAUUUAUACCUUAGUUGCUUUGGCAGGCCGUGGAAACACCAUGGGCUCCGGCUUAUGCGUGCCUGCCAGAGGAAACAAACUCUGUUUUUAGUGAUGUCUGAGUACUAUAUAAUAGUUAAAACUUUCAACAACGGAUCUCUUGGUUCUG
rnacentral:misc_RNA from 1 species